rnacentral:lncRNA from 10 species
CCUGCCUCAGCUUCCGGAGCAGCUGGGACUGCUGGCGCCCGCCACUACGCUCGGCUAAUUUUUUUGUGUUUUUAGUAGAGACGGGCUUUCACCGUGUUGGCCUAGCGGUUCUCCAACUCCUGACCUCAUGAUCCCCCCGCCUCAGCCUCCCAAAGUGCUGGGAUUACAAGCGUGAGCCACCGCGACCCGCCAACACUCUUGACAACAGUGCUGUGCUAAGAACUUGGGGGACUUCAAAAAGUUCACCAGUUCCUGUGUCCAUGGGUGAAAAGAUUUUCUACAUCUUUCCUUGACUAGAAACAGAAGUCCUGAAACAAGCAUUUUAAAAAGGUUGUACAUCUAGCAAUACCUAACAAAAUAGGAAAUCAACUUGGGCUACCUUAAUGAGCAGCCAGGAUGCCAUCAUCUCCGACCUGAAUGACAAUAACCUCCAAACCAGCCUUUGUAUACUCCUUCCUGCUGCUCUGCAGUCCACUUCCACAGACCAGCCAACUGAAUCUCCUUAUAGAUUCAUAAUGGCCAUCAGCACAAAGAUGUUUUAUCUGCAGUCAACCAGUCAUGUUUCAUGAUGGCAUCAAAAUGUGUGCUGGAGUUUGCUGGGGGUCCACUCUAGAUCCUGUUUGCCUGAGUAUCACCAGCGGACACUGUAGAACAGCAAAGAUUGCUGCCUGCUCCUUCCUCUGGAAGCUUCGUCCCAGAGGGGCACCUGCAAGAUGCCAACCAGAGCUCUCCUGUAUGAGUUGUCUGUUGACCCCUGCUGGGAGGUGUCUCCCUUUCAGGAGGCUCAGGGGUCAGGGACCCACUUGAGGAGGCAGUCUGUCCCUUAGCAGAGCUUAAAUGUUGUGCUGGAAGAUCUGCUUCUGUCUUCAGAGCCAGCAGGCAGGAAUAUUUAAGUCCACUGAAGCUGUGCCCACAGCAGCCCCUUCCCCCAGGUCCCAGGGAGAUGAUGGGAGUUUUAUCUAUAACCUCCUAACUGGGACUGCUGCCUUUCUUUCAGAGAUGCCCUACCCAGAGAGGAGGAAUCUAGAGAGAGUCUGCCUAAUUUGGCUUUGCUGCGCUGCAAUGGGCUCCCUCCAGUCCAAAGUUCCUGGAGGCUUUGUUUACAUUGUGAGGGAAAAACCGCUUACUCAAGCCUCAGUAAUGGCAGACGCCCCUCCCCCCAUCAAGCUCCAAUGUCCCAGGUCAACUUCAGACUGUUGUGCUGGCAGCGAGAAUUUCAAGUCAGUGGAUCUUAGCUUGCUUGGCUCUGUGGGGUUGGAAUCUGCUUAACAAGACCACUUGGCUACCUGGCUUCAGCCCCCUUUCCAGGGGAGUGAGUGGUUCUGUCUCACUUGCGUUCCAGGCACCACACAAUUGGAAAUGUAGAAAUUACCUGCCUUCUGCGUUGGUCUCCCUGGGCGCUGCAGACUGGGGCUGUUCCUCUUCAGCCAUCUUGCAGGGAAUCACAAUAAAGAAUUUUUAAAAGGAAGAGAAAAGCAAUCAUCACUAUUUUGGUUUUGUUUUGUUUUAGGAGUAACUGACUACUGAACAGUACUGCAUGUUUCUGAGGUUCCUCUGUUAUUCCUGUAGUUCACUACCUCUGCAUCCUCCCCAGGACAAGAAAUUCAUUUUCCUUAUUGUACUGUGUUAUGCCAAGAAUAUUACUAUUGUUCGGUGAAUAUAAAAUAAUCAUUAUAGCAACAAUUUUUUUGGCGUCCUAAAUAAGGCUGAUCCAUGGCAACGGUACUAUGCAAAGAAAAGAAUAAAGUCAAAACACUUGUAAAACCUUUUACUUAUUGGUAUCAGACAUCUGUUAUUUUAUUAAUCCUCACAAUGUCUUUUAAAGGUUUUGUUAUUUGUAUCUACAAUCCGGGGAGAAGAAACUGAAGUACAGAGGGGCAAAACGAUUGUUACCUAGUUGAAUGACAAAUUAGAUGAGAAUCCAAUAUCCACAAGGUGUUAGGCCCUGGAAACAUUAAUCUCAUGUAUUAUUAGCUAUUCUCACAUACAUAUAAG